UGCAAGUCGAGCGGUAACAUUUCUAGCUUGCUAGAAGAUGACGAGCGGCGGACGGGUGAGUAAUGCUUGGGAACAUGCCUUGAGGUGGGGGACAACCAUUGGAAACGAUGGCUAAUACCGCAUAAUGUCUACGGACCAAAGGGGGCUUCGGCUCUCGCCUUUAGAUUGGCCCAAGUGGGAUUAGCUAGUUGGUGAGGUAAAGGCUCACCAAGGCGACGAUCCCUAGCUGGUUUGAGAGGAUGAUCAGCCACACUGGAACUGAGACACGGUCCAGACUCCUACGGGAGGCAGCAGUGGGGAAUAUUGCACAAUGGGCGCAAGCCUGAUGCAGCCAUGCCGCGUGUGUGAAGAAGGCCUUCGGGUUGUAAAGCACUUUCAGUCAGGAGGAAAGGUUAGUAGUUAAUACCUGCUAGCUGUGACGUUACUGACAGAAGAAGCACCGGCUAACUCCGUGCCAGCAGCCGCGGUAAUACGGAGGGUGCGAGCGUUAAUCGGAAUUACUGGGCGUAAAGCGUACGCAGGCGGUUUGUUAAGCGAGAUGUGAAAGCCCCGGGCUUAACCUGGGAACUGCAUUUCGAACUGGCAAACUAGAGUGUGAUAGAGGGUGGUAGAAUUUCAGGUGUAGCGGUGAAAUGCGUAGAGAUCUGAAGGAAUACCGAUGGCGAAGGCAGCCACCUGGGUCAACACUGACGCUCAUGUACGAAAGCGUG
rnacentral:rRNA from 1 species